UGAGGGAAAGGCGAAAAGAACCCCGGGAGGGGAGUGAAAUAGAUCCUGAAACCGUGUGCAUACAAACAGUCGGAGCCUCUUUAUGGGGUGACGGCGUACCUUUUGUAUAAUGGGUCAUCGACUUGGUCUCACGAGCAAGCUUAAGCCGUUAGGUGUAGGCGCAGCGAAAGCGAGUCUUAAUAGGGCGUCGAGUUCGUGGGAUCAGACCCGAAACCGAGUGAUCUAGGCAUGACCAGGAUGAAGGUAAGGUAACACUUACUGGAGGUCCGAACCCACACCUGUUGAAAAAGGUCGGGAUGAGUUGUGCCUAGGGGUGAAAGGCCAAUCAAACUCGGAGAUAGCUGGUUCUCUGCGAAAUCUAUUUAGGUAGAGCGUCAUCCGAAUACCCUCGGGGGUAGAGCACUGGAUGGGUAAUGGGGCCCCACAGGCUUACUGAUCCUAACCAAACUCCGAAUACCGAGGAGUACUAGAUGGCAGACACACGGCGAAUGCUAACGUCCGUCGUGGAGAGGG
rnacentral:rRNA from 1 species